rnacentral:rRNA from 1 species
GUGAGGGGCGAAAGCUGGGGGAGCAAAGGGGGUUAGAUACCCCCGUAGUCCCAGCUGUAAACGAUGCGGGCUAGAUGUUGGGUGGGCUUCGAGCCCGCCCAGUGCCGUAGGGAAGCCGUUAAGCCCGCCGCCUGGGGAGUACGGCCGCAAGGCUGAAACUUAAAGGAAUUGGCGGGGGAGCACCACAAGGGGUGAAGCUUGCGGUUUAAUUGGAGUCAACGCCGGAAACCUUACCCGGGGCGACAGCAGGAUGAAGGCCAGGCUAACGACCUUGCCAGACGAGCUGAGAGGAGGUGCAUGGCCGUCGCCGGCUCGUGCCGUGAGGUGUCCGGUUAAGUCCGGUAACGAGCGAGACCCCCGCCCCCAGUUGCCACCCGAUCCCUCAGUGGCCUUCCACUGAGGGAUUGGAGCACUCUGGGGGGACUGCCGGCGUUAAGCCGGAGGAAGGUGGGGGCUACGGCAGGUCAGUAUGCCCCGAAACCCCGGGGCUACACGCGAGCUGCAAUGGCGGGGACAACGGGUACCGACCCCGAAAGGGGGAGGUAAUCCCUUAAACCCCGCCUCAGUAGGAAUCGAGGGCUGCAACUCGCCCUCGUGAACGUGGAAUCCCUAGUAACCGCGCGUCACCAACGCGCGGUGAAUACGUCCCUGC